CUUUGUGGAGUGGAUUUGGGGGCGGCGCUCGUGAGGUCAGACACGCUCCGCCCUUCGCGCUGUGUAUCCAGAACCGUUUAAUGCGGCCGAUCUCAGCAAUGCGUCCGUCGGGGGCGCUUGCCUUGAACAAAGGAGCGUUUGAAACGGACACGGGCUCAAGGACAAGGCAAGAAAAGGCGCUAUCGGCAAGGCUUUGGCUUGAGUCCUCCCAUCAGCAUGGAAUGCCUGCUUGGAACUUGAUUUCUGGUCCAGUUGUGAAAGAAUGUACUUGAAGAUUUAAGUUGAUACGGACACCCGCUACCCUGCAAGUCUGGUGAAUUUCUUCUUCCAGCUUUAGUGAGAUACGAACGUCCGUUGACAGAUGAAUGCAUGAAGAAAAGGUGGUGUAGACGAAGCACUAUUAUUCAGCCAUAUAGAAACAGGAGUUCCUGGGUUUUUGGCAGCAUAGAUGGACCUCGAGGGCUUUAUGCUAAAUGAAACCAGUCAGACAGAGAAAGACAGAUCCUAUACAAUUUCACGUAAGUGGAAUCUAAAAAUAUCAACUCACAGAAACACAGACUGAAACGGCGGUGCGGGGCUGGGAGGGUGGAAGAAAGGGGCUGGUCAAAGGGCACAAACUCUUAGUCACAAGACCAACACAUUCUGGGGAUCUCCCGUGGAGCGUGCUGAGUAUAGCCAACAAGGCUGUAUUAUACCCUUGGAAGUCCCUAUCAAAGAAGAGCCUGAAUGUUUUCACCAUAACAACAAAAUGGUAAUUACAUGAUGUGAAGGAUUUGUUCACUACCUUUAUGAUGAUAAACAUUUUGCAAUAUAUAUGUGAAUUGCAUGAGCACAUGUACACCGUAAAUUACACCCAGUGUCAAUUUUAUCACAAAGCUGGGUAAAAAAAGCAAAUUGAAGAAGUAAACGUUGGCAUCGUCACCAUGCGCCGUCUUCCCACUCAGGAGCAGCAUUUACUCAAUAAAGCCUUU